rnacentral:rRNA from 1 species
GGACCAAGGAGUCUUGCAUAUGCGCAAGUCAUUGGGACUUUUAAAAACCUAAAGGCGUAAUGAAAGUGAAAUAAUUUUCUUUAUUGAAUGAUUAAGGGAAGAUGGGUAACGGAAUUUAUGUUACCUCGCAUUCCCGGGGCGUCGCGUACUUAUUGCAAGUUGCGGCGCACCAAGAGCGAAUACGCUGGGACCC